UACGUAGGGUGCAAGCGUUGUCCGGAAUUAUUGGGCGUAAAGAGCUCGUAGGCGGCUUGUCGCGUCGGCUGUGAAAACCUGGGGCUCAACCCCGGGCCUGCAGCCGAUACGGGCAAGCUAGAAUUCGGUAGGGGAGACGUGGAAUUCCUGGUGUAGCGGUGAAAUGCGCAGAUAUCAGGAGGAACACCGGUGGCGAAGGCGGGUCUCUGGGCCGAUACUGACGUGAGGAGCGAAAGCGUGGGGAGCGAACAGG
rnacentral:rRNA from 1 species